UACGUAGGGGGCAAGCGUUGUCCGGAUUCAUUGGGCGUAAAGAGCGUGUAGGCGGCCAGGUAGGUCGGUUGUGAAAACUGGAGGCUCAACCUUCAGAGGUCGACCGAAACCAUCUGGCUAGAGUCCGGGAGAGGAGAGUGGAAUUCCUGGUGUAGCGGUGAAAUGCGUAGAUAUCAGGAAGAACACCGGUGGCGAAAGCGCUCUGCUAGGCCGCAACUGACACUGAGGGACGAAAGCUAGGGGAGCGAAUGGG
rnacentral:rRNA from 1 species